UACGUAGGGUGCGAGCGUUGUCCGGAAUUAUUGGGCGUAAAGAGCUUGUAGGCGGUUUGUCGCGUCUGCUGUGAAAAUCCGGGGCUCAACCCCGGACUUGCAGUGGGUACGGGCAGACUAGAGUGCAGUAGGGGAGACUGGAAUUCCUGGUGUAGCGGUGGAAUGCGCAGAUAUCAGGGGGAACACCGGUGGCGAAGGCGGGUCUCUGGGCCGUAACUGACGCUGAGGAGCGAAAGCAUGGGGAGCGAACAGG
rnacentral:rRNA from 1 species